UGGGGAAUAUUGCGCAAUGGGCGAAAGCCUGACGCAGCAACGCCGCGUGGGUGAAGAAGGUCUUCGGAUCGUAAAGCCCUGUCAGAUGGGAAGAAACCUGCGCAAGCAGCUGACGGUACCAUCAGAGGAAGCACCGGCUAACUCCGUGCCAGCAGCCGCGGUAAUACGGAGGGUGCAAGCGUUGUUCGGAAUUACUGGGCGUAAAGGGUGCGUAGGCGGCUUUACAAGCCUGAUGUGAAAGCCCGGGGCUCAACCCCGGAAGUGCAUUGGGAACUGUAGAGCUUGAGUUCGGGAGAGGAGGGCAGAAUUCCUGGUGUAGGGGUGAAAUCCGUAGAUAUCAGGAGGAAAACCAGUGGCGAAGGCGGCCCUCUGGAACGUAACUGACGCUGAGGCACGAAAG
rnacentral:rRNA from 1 species